rnacentral:rRNA from 1 species
GCACAAGCAGCGGAGCGUGUGGUUUAAUUCGAUGCUACACGAAGAACCUUACCAGGGUUUGACAUGCAAGUGGUAGGAACCGAAAGGUGACCGACCCUUCGGGGAGCUUGCACAGGUGCUGCAUGGCUGUCGUCAGCUCGUGUCGUGAGAUGUUCGGUUAAGUCCGCUAACGAGCGCAACCCUCGCUGUGUGUUAUAUGUGUCACACGGGACUGCCGGUCUUAAGCCGGAGGAAGGUGGGGAUGAUGUCAAGUCAGCAUGGCCUUUAUAUCCUGGGCUACACACACGCUACAAUGGCCAGCACAGUAGGUUGCUAAGCCGCGAGGUGGAGCCAAUCCAUAAAGCUGGUCUCAGUUCAGAUUGCAGGCUGCAACCCGCCUGCAUGAAGAUGGAGUUGCUAGUAACCGCAGGUCAGCUAUACUGCGGUGAAUACGUUCCCGGGGCUU